rnacentral:rRNA from 1 species
AUACGGAGGGUGCAAGCGUUAUUCGGAAUCACUGGGCGUAAAGGACGCAUAGGCGGGUUGGCAAGUCAGAUGUGAAAUCCUACAGCUUAACUGUAGAACUGCAUUUGAAACUGCUAACCUAGAGUAUGGGUGGGGGAGAUGGAAUUAGUGGUGUAGGGGUAAAAUCCGUAGAUAUCACUAGGAAUACCGAAAGCGAAGGCGAUCUCCUGGAACAUAACUGACGCUAAGGCGUGAAAGCGUGGGGAGCAAACAGGAUUAGAAACCCUUGUAGUCC